rnacentral:misc_RNA from 1 species
GGAUAGUUGUCAAGAUAUAGGAUCCAGAAGUGUAGGACUUAGAGCAGGUCAUAGUUCGAGCAAUGUCAGGAGCCAAAACAUGGAGUUCAGAGUUGCAGGAUAUGGAUCAAAUUCUAUCUAUUCCCAUUCCCGAGAUGGAGUAGGUAACAUUGGACUAAGAUCCAUUUAAACUUCUAACAGUGUGAGGAAAGUUAGUAGAGGGAUGCAACCGGAGCAGGCAAAAGUUAUAGGAUGUGUAAUGGUGUCUUAAACUGUCCUAUCAGGCAAAGAAGUGAAUUAAUAAGUGGUAAGUUAAAUAAAAGUAAACUUAAUGGUUUAAAUAGGCAUAACAAACAAAAAAGAUGGUGAAAAAUGGCACAUAGGCUUAGGUCCUGAGAAUAGAUGGUGAUAUAGCAUUUAUGGGGUAUGUGAUCAAGGGUUAGGUAAGCAUUUU